rnacentral:rRNA from 1 species
UACAGAGGUCUCAAGCGUUGUUCGGAUUCAUUGGGCGUAAAGGGUGCGUAGGUGGCAGGGUAAGUCGGAUGUGAAAUCCCGGGGCUCAACCUCGGAACUGCAUUCGAUACUGCUUUGCUUGAGUACUGAGAGGAGAUUGGAAUUACGGUGUAGCAGUGAAAUGCGUAGAUAUCGUAAGGAAGACCAGUGGCGAAGGCGGAUCUCUGGACAGUUACUGACACUGAGGCACGAAGGCCAGGGGAGCAAACGGG